rnacentral:rRNA from 1 species
UACGUAGGGUGCGAGCGUUAAUCGGAAUUACUGGGCGUAAAGCGUGCGUAGGUGGUGAGUUAAGUCUGUCGUGAAAGCCCCGGGCUCAACCUGGGAAUGGCGAUGGAUACUGGCUCGCUAGAGUGCGGUAGAGGAGAGUGGAAUUCCCGGUGUAGCAGUGAAAUGCGCAGAUAUCAGGAAGAACACCCGUGGCGAAGGCGGCUCUCUGGGACGGUACUGACGCUAAGGCGCGAAAGCGUGGGGAGCGAACAGG